rnacentral:tRNA from 1 species
GCACCUGUGGCUCAAAGGAGUAGGGCACCGGCCCCAUAUGCCGGAGGUGGCUGGUUCAAACCCAGCCCUGUCCA